AUGGUAGGAGAGCGUUCUAAGGGCGUUGAAGCAUGAUCGUAAGGACAUGUGGAGCGCUUAGAAGUGAGAAUGCCGGUGUGAGUAGCGAAAGACGGAUGAGAAUCCCGUCCACCGAUUGACUAAGGUUUCCAGAGGAAGGCUCGUCCGCUCUGGGUUAGUCGGGUCCUAAGCUGAGGCCGACAGGCGUAGGCGAUGGAUAACAGGUUGAUAUUCCUGUACCACCUAUAAUCGUUUUAAUCGAUGGGGGGACGCAGUAGGAUAGGCGAAGCGUGCGAUUGGAUUGCACGUCUAAGCAGUAAGGCUGAGUAUUAGGCAAAUCCGGUACUCGUUAAGGCUGAGCUGUGAUGGGGAGAAGACAUUGAGUCUUCGAGUCGUUGAUUUCACACUGCCGAGAAAAGCCUCUAGAUAGAAAAUAGGUGCCCGUACCGCAAACCGACACAGGUAGUCAAGAUGAGAAUUCUAAGGUGAGCGAGCGAACUCUCGUUAAGGAACUCGGCAAAAUGACCCCGUAACUUCGGGAGAAGGGGUGCUCUUUAGGGUUAACGCCCAGAAGAGCCGCAGUGAAUAGGCCCAAGCGACUGUUUAUCAAAAACACAGGUCUCUGCUAAACCGUAAGGUGAUGUAUAGGGGCUGACGCCUGCCCGGUGCUGGAAGGUUAAGAGGAGUGGUUAGCUUCUGCGAAGCUACGAAUCGAAGCCCCAGUAAACGGCGGCCGUAACUAUAACGGUCCUAAGGUAGCGAAAUUCCUUGUCGGGUAAGUUCCGACCCGCACGAAAGGCGUAACGAUUUGGGCACUGUCUCAACGAGAGACUCGGUGAAAUCAUAGUACCUGUGAAGAUGCAGGUUACCCGCGACAGGACGGAAAGACCCCGUGGAGCUUUACUGUAGCCUGAUAUUGAAAUUCGGCACAGCUUGUACAGGAUAGGUAGGAGCCUUUGAAACGUGAGCGCUAGCUUACGUGGAGGCGCUGGUGGGAUACUACCCUAGCUGUGUUGGCUUUCUAACCCGCACCACUUAUCGUGGUGGGAGACAGUGUCAAGCGGGCAGUUUGACUGGGGCGGUCGCCUCCUAAAAGGUAACGGAGGCGCUCAAAGGUUCCCUCAGAAUGGUUGGAAAUCAUUCAUAGAGUGUAAAGGCAUAAGGGAGCUUGACUGCGAGACCUACAAGUCGAGCAGGGUCGAAAGACGGACUUAGUGAUCCGGUGGUUCCGCAUGGAAGGGCCAUCGCUCAACGGAUAAAAGCUACCCCGGGGAUAACAGGCUUAUCUCCCCCAAGAGUUCACAUCGACGGGGAGGUUUGGCACCUCGAUGUCGGCUCAUCGCAUCCUGGGGCUGUAGUCGGUCCCAAGGGUUGGGCUGUUCGCCCAUUAAAGCGGUACGCGAGCUGGGUUCAGAACGUCGUGAGACAGUUCGGUCCCUAUCCGUCGUGGGCGUAGGAAAUUUGAGAGGAGCUGUCCUUAGUACGAGAGGACCGGGAUGGACAUACCUCUGGUGUACCAGUUGUCGUGCCAACGGCAUAGCUGGGUAGCUAUGUGUGGACGGGAUAAGUGCUGAAAGCAUCUAAGCAUGAAGCCCCCCUCAAGAUGAGAUUUCCCAACUUCGGUUAUAAGAUCCCUCAAAGAUGAUGAGGUUAAUAGGUUCGAGGUGGAAGCAUGGUGACAUGUGGAGCUGACGAAUACUAAUCGAUCGAAGACUUAAUCAA
rnacentral:rRNA from 1 species